GUCGGAUCCAACUAAAUUUUGAGUAGAUUUUUUUCUCGGUGCAAGUAUCGAUGUCGAUUAUGGAUUUACCCGUAUAUGUCGAAUUACAUGUGGUGAGUCGAUUGCCUACAUUUUGGCGUUUGUUAAGCUCAUGCGAUGCAUGCUUAUUUCAGGCCAGUCUUACCGACUGAAUUUGUACAAAAUUUUGUACACGGAGAAAUCAAACUACCUAAUUUUUGGGUCGAUUUUACUCAAAGCUGAGUAUAUCGAAUAAACUAGUUACCCAAAAUUAGGUUGUUUUCCCUUUUUUCCUCACCGAUGUUGUCAAAAACAAACAGAGAUGCAUCAACCCAACGGGGGUCCUUGUGCCCAAUAAGCCAAAUUUGGUUGUUGAGAAAAUUUGACGUGAUUUCGUGUGAGAAUAAGCAGGCCAGUAUAUAUUCGUGCAGUAAUCCAUAGUGUCGAAGUCGUAAAUUUCUAGAUUGAGUUUAAAUAAGGGCGAGAGUAACAUGAGAGAGUUCUCUUCGUUGACUCUCUCUUCUUCAAAUUAAAGUGAGAAGAUGCAAGUAUAAUUGAACUUUUUGGUCACAAAUCGCUAGGUUGCGAUGCAGCGUGUAAGUGUAAAAGUUCAAUUGAAUUUGCAUCUUAACACUUUAAUUUGCAGAAGAGAGAGUCGAUGAAGAGAACUCUCUCAUGUUACUUUCGCCCUUAUUUAAACUCAAUCUAGAUUUAUCUAAAUUGGAAAAAAAAUGUCAAUAAAUAAUUAUAAACGCCUUGCUUUGAAGAUACUCAAAAACUGAGUAGAAGCAGCUCACAAUCGAUGUUAAAUGUCGUGAGUUGACUUUUACUCAGUCUUCGUCGACUACACGCUAAGAUCAGUUUACCUUUUUCCAAAAAGUGCACAACACGCUUACCUGAAACUACCCAUCGAAUGGGUCGAUUUUACCCGGAUUUUCAUGUUAUUAGAAGUUGUCAAAAUCCGGGUAACCGAUCUUGCAACAGAAGAGUAAGCUUUACUCUGAUUGUGGGUAAACGGGUCUUUGCGAAAAUUCUGAUACUCAGUUUAUCCUGGUUGUAUAUUGGUCAAAAUCUGGGUAAACAUCUGGGUAAGCGGGAUUUGUCAAAAACAUUAACAUUGUUCGCGGCGUGUAUUCCAAAAAGUUAGAGGCUGUGGUAAAGCUCCGGAGAAAAUGGAUCGCGAAAGCUGCAAACAGAUAUUUUUGCAACAUUCCCGGCUACAACAUCUUCAGCAAAGGAGCCCGAUGUAGGCGCGCGGAACGAAACUUGGGACUGCCCUUUGAAAUCUGGAGCCUUUUUAUCAUUAUGAAUAUACUUUUAAUGUUAUUUUACUUAUUUAGACGUAAAUAAAUACUAUCUGUUUUA